AUACGGAGGGGGCUAGCGUUGUUCGGAAUUACUGGGCGUAAAGGGCGUGCAGGCGGUUCGUUAAGUCCAGGGUGAAAGCUCCCGGCUCAACUGGGAGAGGUCCUUGGAAACCAUUGAGCUAGAGUCCGGAAGAGGAGAGUGGAAUUCCUGGUGUAGCGGUGAAAUGCGCAGAUAUCAGGAAGAACACCGAUGGCGAAGGCAGCUCUCUGGGACGGUACUGACGCUAAGACGCGAAAGCGUGGGGAGCGAACAGGAUUAGAAACCCGAGUAGUCC
rnacentral:rRNA from 1 species